CUCAUUAACUUAAUCGUCAUGUGUCCUCGUGAGGCCGGUAGAUGCCAGUAAUUCAGUUGGCCAAGUCCGAGGACAAGCUGACGUCAGAUGUCUUCCUCUGUGAGUCAGGAGCAAAUAUUGCAUUCACACGGGACCAAGAAAUUCAAUAAGGUGUUUGUCACUACAAGGCUUGCUGAGCGCCAACCGGCCGUGUUUGAUGGGUCCGUCUUUACCAAAGCAAUCGUCGGGCUGCAAACAGGCCAAUAAAAUUCACAAUUAUUUCAUUUUGGACAAUAAAGGUUGGUGCUUUAGGCGAGACUAGUAACAGCAAUGAAAUCUGUGAAAUUAAACUGCAGGUUGUUCGGGUGCCUUCGGGAUUAUAUCCCAAAACUGUGCCAAGAAAACAACUGUCCCAAAUUGCUUUUACUCCUCUCCUCGCUCUUCAAGUGCGGCCCAGUCACUGGAAGGUAUGUCAGCCAAUCUCAUCCCGGGCGCGAUUCAAUUAAAGAGAGUACAAAGACACAUGGCUCGGGGCUGUGUGAUAUGAUUAGAGUUCUGUGCACAACGAGGCUGCGGCUUUGAUUCAUGCCCUCUCUUAUCUGGUCGCUUACGGUGACGGACUGCAACAACCGAGCCGAGGAGGGGCUCCCGCAGGUGCGCUGCAGCAUCCUCGGGGGCCUAUAAAAGCUAUCCUAAACCAAUCCUCGGGUCGUACUGUCAUCAUCUAUCAUGCCAAUCUGAAAGCAGGCCGCAGUGACCAAACAGGACAAUGCAGAGGAGCAACUGUACCCCAACCCCCCCCUUCCUCCCUCAUCUUCUAGCCGAGCUGAAUGAAAGACUGGUGAUACGGCUCUCGGGACGGGGAUGUGUCAGAGGAAUGCGCGUGCAGGUAUCCUGCCGCCUGUGGGGACUGCGGAGAAAGGCCCAGCGCGGCGGUUGAUCCCGUUUGAUAAAGGCCCUGACAUGCCCGGGAUUAUAUGUCUCUGCCUGGAGGAGCUGUCUGUGUCUCAUUCCUGCACUGAAGAAAGUCGAUCUGGUGGGAAUGAGGCGGGGCCAUUCCUGUAGGCGGCGGUUUUUUGUAUGCAUGCCAAAACACACCUUGUUGGGACAGGCACCACUAACACCACCCUCACCCAUUACCUGACCACACCCAUGUCUCCAGAUGCCAUAAAUACUACUGCCGCAAAUCAAGAAAUAGAUACUUGCUGCAAGGCAUGUUUGCUUUAAAAUGGCAAUUUCUCAGUCUGGUGCAUUCAUUUACUUUGAUGUACAGGUUGCGUUGUGACAGAACUAAACCAAACCAACUACACUACACAGUUAAAGACAGUGAAAAGGGGGGUUGCAUACUGUGAUACAGACAUUUUCUACUUUUGGAAAUGGAUUUGUCCUGAUCGUAGGGUACAACAUGCAUGUUGUUAAAGGAACGUGAGAAAAACAAUGAGAUACUUUAAUAAAUACCACAUCACAGUAUUCUUCAUGUUAUGUGUUGUCCAGUAACAUUUGUGGUAUUAAGAACACUGCAAUCAAAAGUUUUUUACAAGUCAUUUCUAAAUAAUCACUACAUAAUUUGAAGCUUUAUUCCAUUUAAAUCCAACCGAGGUUAACAUCACCUUAUUUGCUUGUGUUUUUUUGUUGUGCCAGCCACUCAAAGACAAUAGUGAGACACACAGUGAGUGACAGUCUGUGCCCCAGGCUCACCCCUUCUGUUAUGUCUCUCCCAAAGAGCAGCUGGGGCGCUGGGGACCUGUCAUAUAGACAGCCAUCUCACAAACAGGGGCCCGGGCCCUCCGUGGAGACGGACACAUCAACAACCAAAGAGGGCAGACGAGGAGCCGACACCGACUGCCUGCGUCUGUCAUCUUAACUCCAGGAGGCCAACGACGGGGUGCAUCACUGAGACUUCCACAUCUGUGGACAACCACGUUUAGGAUUACACUUAUUUAGCUCUGCUGAAAACUGUCCUCGAGAGUGAACUACACCCAAAAACCAGUCUGUAUUUAAACACAAAACAGCUGCUCAUCAUCUCAACUAUUGGUAACGCGGGUGGGGAAUCUGUCGCAGUCGGCAAAAAAUAAAAUAAAGAAAUUC